AUUGAACGCUGGCGGCAUGCUUUACACAUGCAAGUCGGACGGCAGCGGGGUAGUGCUUGCACUACUGCCGGCGAGUGGCGAACGGGUGAGUAAUAUAUUGGAACGUACCGAGUAAUGGGGGAUAACCAAUCGAAAGAUUGGCUAAUACCGCAUACGCUCUGAGGAGGAAAGCAGGGGACCUUCGGGCCUUGCGUUAUUCGAGCGGCCAAUAUCUGAUUAGCUAGUUGGUGGGGUAAGGGCCUACCAAGGCGACGAUCAGUAGCGGGUCUGAGAGGAUGAUCGGCCACACUGGGACUGAGACACGGCCCAGACUCCUACGGGAGGCAGCAGUGGGGAAUUUUGGACAAUGGGCGCAAGCCUGAUCCAGCCAUGCCGCGUGUCUGAAGAAGGCCUUCGGGUUGUAAAGGACUUUUGUUAGGGAAGAAAAAGGAGCGGUUAAUACCCGUUUCUGCUGACGGUACCUAAAGAAUAAGCACCGGCUAACUACGUG
rnacentral:rRNA from 1 species